rnacentral:tRNA from 1 species
GGUGCUUUAGUUUAAUUAAAAUACGGGUUUUGUAAGCCCGUGAUGACUGUUUAGUCAGGUUCCU